AUACGUAGGGGGCGAGCGUUGUCCGGAAUGAUUGGGCGUAAAGGGCGCGUAGGCGGCGCGGUAAGUCUGGAGUGAAAGUCCUGCUUUCAAGGUGGGAAUUGCUUUGGAUACUGCCGCGCUUGAGUGCAGGAGAGGUUAUCGGAAUUCCCGGUGUAGCGGUGAAAUGCGUAGAGAUCGGGAGGAACACCAGUGGCGAAGGCGGGUAACUGGACUUCAACUGACGCUGAGGCGCGAAAGUGUGGGGAGCAAACAGGAUUAGAUACCCUGGUAGUCCACACUGUAAACGAUGAAUGCUAGGUGUAAGAGGUAUCGACCCCUUUUGUGCCGGAGUCAACACAAUAAGCAUUCCGCCUGGGGAGUACGGCCGCAAGGUUGAAACUCAAAGGAAUUGACGGGG
rnacentral:rRNA from 1 species